rnacentral:misc_RNA from 1 species
GUAGGUGAACCUGCGGAAGGAUCAUUAAUGAGUUCGGGGGCCUAAGCCCCUGUGGCGAGCGUCGUUCAAAUCCUCCAGGACUCGGCCGACGAUCGUCGUGUUUCUCAACCCCAUGUUUACCAUACCUUUGUUGCUUUGGCGGGCCUUGAGUAGGCUAUACGGCUCAUGCCGGCCCCAGGCUUUGUUGCCUAGGGGCGGCUCGCGCCCGCCAGAGGUUUAAACUAAAUCCUAUUUAUCAGUGAUGUCUGAG